rnacentral:rRNA from 1 species
CACGUAGGGCGCGAGCGUUGUCCGGAAUUAUUGGGCGUAAAGAGCUCGUAGGCGGCCUGUUGCGUCCGGCUGUGAAAGCCCGGGGCUCAACCCCGGGAGGCGGGUGGAUACUGUCAAGCUCGAGUCCGGAAGAGGAGUGUGGAAUUCCUGGUGUAGCGGUGAAAUGCGCAGAUAUCAGGAGGAACACCGGUGGCGAAGGCGGCGAUCUGGGAAGAUACUGACACUGAGGCGCGAGAGCGUGGGGAGCAAACAGG